GACGAACGCUGGCGGCGUGCCUAAUACAUGCAAGUAGAACGCUGAAGAGAGGAGCUUGCUCUUCUUGGAUGAGUUGCGAACGGGUGAGUAACGCGUAGGUAACCUGCCUGGUAGCGGGGGAUAACUAUUGGAAACGAUAGCUAAUACCGCAUAAAAUGGAUUAUCGCAUGAUAAUUCAUUGAAAGGUGCAAAUGCAUCACUACCAGAUGGACCUGCGUUGUAUUAGCUAGUUGGUGGGGUAACGGCUCACCAAGGCAACGAUACAUAGCCGACCUGAGAGGGUGAUCGGCCACACUGGGACUGAGACACGGCCCAGACUCCUACGGGAGGCAGCAGUAGGGAAUCUUCGGCAAUGGACGGAAGUCUGACCGAGCAACGCCGCGUGAGUGAAGAAGGUUUUCGGAUCGUAAAGCUCUGUUGUAAGAGAAGAACGAGUGUGAGAGUGGAAAGUUCACACUGUGACG
rnacentral:rRNA from 1 species